GACGAACGCUGGCGGCGGGCUUAACACAUGCAAGUCGAACGAGAAAGGGUCCUUCGGGACCUGAGUACAGUGGCGCACGGGUGAGUAACGCGUAGACAACCUACCCCAGGUGGGGAAUAACUACGGGAAACCGUAGCUAAUACCGCAUAAUGUCAGAUGGCCGCAUGGCCGACUGAUCAAAGCUUUAUGCGCCCGGGGAUGGGUCUGCGUUGGAUUAGCUAGUUGGUGAGGUAACAGCUCACCAAGGCAACGAUCCAUAGCGGGUCUGAGAGGAUGAUCCGCCACACUGGCACUGAGACACGGCCCAGACUCCUACGGGAGGCAGCAGUGGGGAAUCUUAGACAAUGGGGGAAACCCUGAUCUAGCCAUGCCGCGUGAGUGAUGAAGGCCUAGGGU
rnacentral:rRNA from 1 species